rnacentral:rRNA from 1 species
UACGAAGGGUGCAAGCGUUAAUCGGAAUUACUGGGCGUAAAGGGUGCGUAGGCGGUUAUUUAAGUCUGCCGUGAAAUCCCCGGGCUCAACCUGGGAAUGGCGGUGGAUACUGGAUAGCUAGAGUGUGUCAGAGGAUGGUGGGAUUCCCGGUGUAGCGGUGAAAUGCGUAGAGAUCGGGAGGAACAUCAGUGGCGAAGGCGGCCAUCUGGGACAACACUGACGCUGAAGCACGAAAGCGUGGGGAGCAAACAGG